UCACAGGUUUUUUUGAUAACGCCACAAAUAACUUAAAUGUUAACUUACUUAUAGGAACUUAGUUAGGUACUUAAAUUAACAAAAGACUAAAACGGUGCUAAAAUCGAGUGUUCAAAGUGCAUAUCAUAAAAUGACCUAACUAAAAGAAAGAGAGGCCUAAAUGAAGAAUGAAUGUUUCAAUCUAUAAAAGAAAAUGACAAUUAGUGCCUCUAUCCCAAAAAAAGGCAGUGUUUCAAUCUAAAAAAACAAUGUUUCAAUCUUAAAAAGCAGUGUUUCAAAUACAAAGAGUGUUUCAAUUCUCAAAAAGUGUUUUUUCUAAAUAUAAGUUGAAAAUGACUCAUAUUACGAGAGUUUUAGUCGUAGUAUAAGAAUAGGGUUCCGUAAAGUUAUUCGUAGUUGAUUCUAAGUGAUAGUGGUGAUAAUGGUGGUGGUGGGGAGGUGAUGCGAUGGCGUGGCCGGGGGACGCUCCGGGCGCGGUGGAGCUGCCGCUGCACGAGGUCGCCAGCGCGGACGCGGUCGACAGCAUCGUGCCGGCUACUACCGUGCUGGAUGGACCGAGAAACAAUGAGGACGAGGUUACGACUUCGGGGCUGACGGACGGCGCGGCGGACGAGCAGCAGAACCGCGUCAUCUUCGUCAACCGGCCGCAGCCGCAGAAGUUCGUCUCCAACAGGAUAUCCACCGCCAAGUACAGCUUACCAUCGUUCGUCCCGUUGUUCCUGUUCGAGCAGUUCCGGCGCUACUCGAACUGCUUCUUCCUGCUGAUCGCGCUGCUGCAGCAGAUCCCCGACGUGUCGCCGACGGGGCGCUGGACCACGCUCACGCCGCUCAUCCUCAUCCUCACCGUCAGCGCCAUCAAGGAGAUCGUCGAGGACUUUAAACGCCACCGCGCGGAUGACGAGACCAACCGGCGGAAAGUGGAAGUGCUCAGCGACGGCCGCUGGCUCAGCAUCCGGUGGGAGAAGCUGCAGGUGGGGGACAUCUGCAAGGUGCUCAACAACCAGUUCUUUCCAGCCGACCUCGUCUUACUGGCCUCUAGCGAGCCCCAAGGCAUAUCCUUCAUCGAGACGUCCAACCUAGACGGGGAGACCAACCUGAAGAUCCGCCAAGCUAACCCUGACACUGCGCCGCUGGACAACGCCGCGGCGUUGGCGGAGUUCAGGGCCACGGUGCAGUGCGAGCCGCCCAACAGACAUCUCUACGAGUUCAAUGGCAUGCUGAAGGAGACCAACGCCAAAACCAUCCCCCUGGGGCUGGAGCAGAUGCUGCUGCGCGGCGCCAUGCUGCGCAACACGGCGUGGGUCAUCGCGCUCGUGGUGUACACGGGCCACGAGACCAAGCUCAUGAAGAACUCCACCAAAGCUCCGCUGAAGAGGUCGUCGAUCGACAAGCAAACCAACACUCAGAUCCUGAUGCUGUUCAUCAUUCUGCUGGUGCUGUCGCUGCUCAGCGGCAUCUUCAACGAGCUGUGGAUCCAGCAGCGCAAGUACACCGACUGGUACAUCGGCCUCAGCGAUGCGCAGAAUGCACAUUUCGGAUUUAACUUUUUAACGUUUUUGAUAUUAUACAACAAUCUUAUACCUAUAUCCUUACAAGUUACGGCUGAAAUUGUCCGAUUUUUCCAAGCGAAGUUCAUAGCGAUGGACAGUGAAAUGUACCACCCCGAGACCGACACGCCCGCUCUAGCGCGCACGUCCAACCUGAACGAGGAGCUGGGCAUGGUGCGCUACGUGUUCAGCGACAAGACCGGCACGCUCACUUGCAACGUCAUGGAGUUCCGCAAGUGCUCCAUUGCUGAGGUGAUAUACAACAAGCCCGGCCCCGACGAGAGGCUAGAAGACACGCUCCUGUAUCAGAACCUAGACAACAACCACCCCAGCGCCGCCGUCAUAUCGGAGUUCCUGACCAUGCUGGCCGUGUGUCACACCGUCAUCCCGGAGAUGAUAGACGGCAAAAUCAACUACCACGCCGCUUCGCCGGAUGAGCGCGCCCUGGUGGCGGGCGCGGCGGCGUGGGGCUGGGUGUUCAGCACGCGCACGCCCACCGCCGUCAGCGUGCGCGCGCGCGGACACACUCUGACCUACACCGUGCUGCACGUGCUCGCCUUCACCUCCGCGCGCAAGCGCAUGUCGGUCAUCGUGCGCGCGCCCACCGGAGAAAUAAAGCUGUACUGCAAAGGCGCGGACUCGGUGAUCUACCCGCGGCUGGCGGGCGGGCCGCACGCCGCGCCCUACGCCGAGGCCACGCUGGCGCACUUGGAGCACUUCGCCACGGAGGGGCUGCGGACCCUGGUCUUCGCCGUGGCGGAUAUACCGGAACACGUCUACAAGGACUGGUCGAACACAUACCACAAAGCGAGCAUAGCGAUACAAGAUCGAGAGCAGAAAAUUGAAGAAGCCGCCCUACUCAUUGAGAACAAUCUGCGCUUGCUCGGCGCGACCGCCAUCGAGGACAAGCUGCAGGACGGAGUUCCCGAAGCGAUAGCGGCUCUGCUAAAGGCCAACAUACAUGUGUGGGUGCUAACGGGCGACAAGCAGGAGACUGCCAUCAAUGUAGCUCAUUCCGCCAGACUGCUGCAUGCUGCCAUGCCUUUGCUGCUACUCAACGAGGACAGUUUAGACGGUACCCGAGAAAGCUUAUCGCGUCACUUGGCGGACUUCGGCGAGAACCUCCGCAAGGAGAACGAAGUGGCGCUCGUGAUCGACGGACAGACGCUCAAGUACGCCAUGGGCUGCGAUCUCAAGAAGGACUUCCUGGACCUGUGCGUGUCCUGCAAAGUUGUCGUGUGCUGCCGCGUCUCCCCUAUACAGAAGGCUGAGGUGGUGGAGAUGGUAUCGCGAGCGACCGGCGCGGUCACGUUGGCCAUCGGCGACGGAGCCAACGACGUGGCGAUGAUACAACGCGCUUCAGUGGGCAUCGGCAUAUCCGGUGUGGAAGGCUUGCAGGCGGUCUGCGCCUCUGAUUAUAGCAUUGCACAGUUCCGGUUUCUCGUACGACUUCUGUUGGUGCACGGCGCGUGGAACUACUCCCGCAUCAGCAAACUCAUCCUCUACUCUUUCUACAAGAACAUCUGCCUCUACGUCAUCGAACUCUGGUUCGCGAUAUACUCCGCGUGGUCUGGUCAAAUUCUCUUCGAGCGGUGGACGAUAGGGUUCUACAACGUCAUCUUCACCGCGCUGCCGCCGUUCGCCAUCGGCCUGUUCGACAAGAUCUGUUCACCCGAUAUCAUGUUGAGGCACCCGGUGCUGUACAUCCCGUCGCAGCAGGGGCUGCUGUUCAACGUGCGCGUGUUCUGGGUGUGGGCCGUCAACGCGCUGCUGCACUCCAUGCUGCUGUUCUGGCUGCCCGUGCUGUUGACUCAGCACCACGUGCUGUGGCCGCACGGCCGCGACGGCGGCUACCUCGUGCUGGGCAACUUCGUCUAUACCUUCGUGGUAGCGACGGUAUGCCUCAAGGCCGGGCUCGCGACGCACUCGUGGACGUGGGUGACGCACGUGUCUAUCUGGGGCUCCAUAGCGCUGUGGUUCCUCUUCAUCCUCGUCUACAGUAACAUGUACCCGAUGAUUCUGAUCGGCGCGGUGAUGCGCGGCAUGGACCGCAUGGUUUUCUCUUCGUUGGUGUUCUGGUUCGGCUUGCUGCUGGUGCCUGCCGCCGCGCUGCUGCCGGAUCUCGUCGUCACUGUAAUACAUAACUCUGCCUUCAAAACAAUGACGGAGGCGGUGCGAGAGAGCGAGAUCAAGAAGAGGGACCCUGCCGCGCUGCUCGCACAGCCCCGCCACUCUGUUUUUUCAAGUUGGACUUACCUGAAGUGUUAUGUUCGAGGAAUGACGGCUUUUAUGUGCGCGACGGACGCGCGGCACGCCGUGGCCCGGCUGGCCCAGUCCUCACGGAGACCGCGCGGCUGCUGCACAACGUGCGCAGCGUGUUCGGGCGCCGCUCCGCCGCGCGCGCAACCACGGAGCUCGAGCUGUCACAUGGAUUCGCAUUCUCUCAAGAGGAGGGCGCAAGUGUGUCGCAGGCGGACGUCAUCCGCGCGUACGACACCAGCCAGCCGCGGCCGCGCUCCUGAGCUGACCCGAGCCCGUGCGAGCUCUUCACGAUUUGCUGAGCCCAUGGAAACGGACCCACACCGUGUGGAGACAAUGGAAACACGUCGCGCUCGACGUUCAAACACUCUGUUUUAUAACGCACCUACAACUAUUAUUAUUACAUUCAUAGCAAAGUUGAUAAUAUGAGAAAUCUAACAUAAGCAGUAAUGUAAUUCUGACGCUCAGUUUUGGCUGCGCAGUUUUGACUGCCCGGGCAAGACCGAGAACUGCCCAGGCCAAUCUUUAGCAGCUUUUGUAACUGCGCGAACUGGCUUGCGCAGGUAAGCUCUUAGGUAAGACGGAGCGUGUAGCCGGAGCUUUAGGGUUAGCGCAUAUAGACGGAGUGGAGUGGAGUGGAGGCGGCCUUUUUGGUAACAACUUUUUCACUCCACUUUGCCGGUGUGCCUUAUGCCUUAAGCUCUCUUCAAACUGAAUCGAUCGUAAGCGCGUACGACGCGCUACAAUUUGUAGCCAAUCUAAAAGUGGCCUAACUAUUUUUUAAAGUACAAAAUAUGUUUUUUCAGAACUCGUGCUAGUCUGUAUAUUUUAGGUUUUUAUAUGUCAACGAACCAAUGACCUACCUAGAGUAUUUCUUUGAAGAACUGUCGAGUGCGAUACCUAACAAUUACUUAAAUAGAAUAAAGAAAAAUUAUUUUGGUCACAUUUUAUCGAAUCGGUGAAUUUUAUGAAACUAUACAUUUAAAAUAAAUAAGGCAGGCUUGGUGCAAAGUGUAUGUGUUUAAGCUUACUACUCAGUAAUGAGGUAUUUGUAAUCAUCCCUUACUUUUUUUGUAUAUUUAUUGGUAUCGCUCACUAUACUUUAGUACUACACUGUACUUUAGUAACCGGUUGGCCAAAGAAAGGUGUAGCUUCUAUACUUGCCUGUCCGGUUAGACGUAGUGUGCGAUGACCUUUAUUCUUUUUAUUUUGUAUACCGAAAUAUAACUUGGAUAUCAUUGUAAACGUAGUUAUCCAUGGUUAUAUGAAAAUAAUGUAUAACAUUAUUCAACGUCAGGUUAAGUAUUAUUUUAUUAGUGUUAAUAUUUAUUUAUUUUUAAUCAAUAAUUUUUAAUUUAUGACUGAGUUAAGUAUUUACAUUAAUCAAAUCAAUAAAUCGUAACUGGCUAACAGCUAUUGUUAGGCUUAGUCUGCACUACGAAAUUUCCCCGCACGGUUGUCUCCGCAAAGUUGACGUCAUAUUAUGGUAAUUGAGUGCGUGCGGUUUUAUACAUACAUCACAUAUUACGAGUAUGUCACAGAAUUCUACGAGAAAAAUCGCGCGGUGAUAUUUCGCAGUGCGGACGUAGGCUUUUGUUUAUCUAAUUUUUCAUAUUGUUGUAUUAUUGACAUCAGUAUUUUUAUAUUUUCAUUAUUAAUUGAAAUAAUUUAACAUUUCAUACAAUAAUUAAAUCAAAUUAACUAACUUUUAUAUUUUUCAAACAUGACCAAAAAAAUGUGAUUUUUUAUGAAUUUUCUGCACUUAUUUGGCCAAAGAUCGCAAAGUAUUACUAACAAUUUUUUUUUCCAUUUUAUCAUUAAGUGGUUUUAUUGAAAGUACAAUAAUUACAACAAAUUAUGCAAUACCAAUAAUUAGGCUGCAAUAAGUUUGAUAUUUUCUUACUUUUAUCUAAGCUUAGCUUAUAAAUGUUCAUGUUGGGUAUUUUUGCGAAGUAAUUUGCGCAUUUUCAAUUGAUUUAUAGUAAGUAGGUAGUUUUAACAAAUGUAUUAAUUAAAUUAAUAUUCUCUACCAAUAUUAAACAAGGAUAACAUAAGUUAUAAAUAAUUUCAAUUGAUUUCUUGUCAAAUAUGCAUGGUAGGACUACAAGGAUACUCGAUAUAAAAUUAAGUACGUAGCCUUUUAUGUUAAGGUACGUAAAGCAUUUCGCAAUUGUGUGCAGAUUAUUAUCUUUAAAGAACUUUUGUACAAUUUGUGAAAUUGCUACUUUGAAAUAAUUUCCACUAUGUGAAAUUGUUUUUCCAUCAUAGUGAUUUCACAGGCGAUUUUCGUGAAAUGAAACACCUAUAAUACCCCUUUCAUACUUGAUAGAGGUGUUAGAGAAAAGGAUAAAAUAUAUUGCUUUUUAAGUUUUACUGUCAUAGAACUAUUGUAGUUACUACACAUUAGUAUUUGUUGAAUUUCUCGUUAUUAAUACCUAUACAAUUUGUUGUCAAAAAUUAUAAAUUUUUGGCUAGGUAUUUGUUUAAAAUAUAAAACUUUAAGCUUUGCUAAAUUAAAUUAUUUACUUAUUUUUUAAAUUACAUUAUACAAUUGACUGAAAGAUUGUGUGAUUUAAGGUUUAUGGCGUAGUAGUUUUAAACUGGAGGUCCUAACAUCUAAAACGCUUAAAAUCUAGCCACGUGGGACCAAAGGGACCGUAGGAGAUAGAGCUGGUUAUCUGAAUGACCUGGGUUGUCGCAGUUGUACCCAACUGUCGCCGUGUUCCGACCUCGCUCUCCUACCUAUUGUAAGCAAAGAUGUGAAUGUAACAGAAAAUAUAUGAUUUGUUCUCGUUCUUUA